rnacentral:rRNA from 1 species
AACGAACGCUGGCGGCAUGCCUAACACAUGCAAGUCGAACGAGACCUUCGGGUCUAGUGGCGCACGGGUGCGUAACGCGUGGGAAUCUGCCCUUGGGUUCGGAAUAACAGCGAGAAAUUGCUGCUAAUACCGGAUGAUGACGUAAGUCCAAAGAUUUAUCGCCCAAGGAUGAGCCCGCGUAGGAUUAGCUAGUUGGUGAGGUAAAGGCUCACCAAGGCGACGAUCCUUAGCUGGUCUGAGAGGAUGAUCAGCCACACUGGGACUGAGACACGGCCCAGACUCCUACGGGAGGCAGCAGUGGGGAAUAUUGGACAAUGGGCGAAAGCCUGAUCCAGCAAUGCCGCGUGAGUGAUGAAGGCCUUAGGGUUGUAAAGCUCUCUUACCCGGGAUGAUAAUGACAGUACCGGGAGAAUAAGCUCGGCUAACUCCGUGCCAGCAGCCGCGGUAAU